AAAGGGAGACGGGAGAGGCCUAAAAGCGACAGAAACGCAGGACUCUCGCCCCUACACACCUUCCUGCCAGCCAGAGGAGGGGUCUGGGACUGAGAGAAGACCAGUGCUGACUGAGAUUAUUCAAAACCAAACAAAGCCAUCAUGGAGAACAGUGGGUUCCAGACACUUGGGUGAGGCCCUGAGAAAUGAAGUGAGCCCACACCACGACCCAGGAUGGAGUUCUCCAAGCAUAUCCUAGCAGGACCGUUUUCACUAGUCGAUGGUUCACCUCUCAUUGCUUCUUCCCAGUUGAGCUUAGAUUUCUAGAUUCCCAUGGUAGUGCUUAGCAACAUCCCUGGAGUGAUCAGGAGGAGGGGAUUCCUAUUCUAGGCUCCUCAGGCACACACAAAAGAGGGUGAGGCUGGCUGACUUGUGAGGAAGAGCAGUAGGAACAGGGAAAUACUAGAAGACAGCUCAUCAUGCUGAAUGGAUCUCCACCACCAUACCUGUAGCGCCCUGGACAGUUGAGGUAAGGGUGGGGCCAGCUAUAGCUCCAGGGUUUGCACCCAGUCUUCUUUGAGCCAAGCAAAGCUGCCAUGUGGGGUGUUCUCCCUGCAGAGAGCUUGCCUAACACUGGGCCAAGUGGCACUUUCUCAUGGCUUCACAGAAGACAGCGUCUCAUGAAGGCAAGCCAAGGACACAGACAGGGAGGAAAGGAAGUGGAAGAACAGCGAAUCAGCAUAGUAAGAAAGGAAAGGGGGGUGGAAAAAGAGGCAGGGUUCAACAGUCCAAGCCCAUGCAGUGGUUUUCACAGUGUUCUGAUUUGGAGUCUAGUUUGAAGAGGAUGAUUUCAUAGUCUGUGUAGGAAUAAGGGGCAUUUUUACUGAAAAAUGCAAAAAAAAAAAAAAAAAUUCAUUUUCAGUUGUUACAUCCAGGUCAGUUUUAUGGGUACAGCUAAUCUCUGGUUAAAUGUUAACACUUCAGUUAUCCUAAGGGAAAAAUGACUGACCCCCAACCUUCCCCUUUCCCAGCAUUUGGAGAAAAUAAAGGAUUAGGUAAAAGGCUUUCAUUUUUCCUCAUUCUCCACUGUGGGCAGGGGUUCAUGUAACAGUUGGAAGCCAUUUUUAACAGGAAACCCAAGUAAAUCCAGAAGAGAUUCACUCACAGAGCUUACAUUUUGCUAGAAAAUGAGAACUUUUAACUAAAAAUUGACAAGUUUCCCCUCUCUCCAUCUUUCUUCCCUCUUAUCUCUCCUCAUCUCCCUCCCAUUGCUCUAGUGGAAAAUGACUGUGGUGAGUUGGGUUUACAUUUUGAGCAAGAUGGGAGCCUCUAUAUCCAAGAGAUGCCACCAAGAGACUACAUUUUGUUGUUGGAUCCCUGUAAAACAGAAUUUUAAUUUUCUUAGACUGUAAAAUUGAUCACAUUUACUGAUGGUGGAUUGGGAAGUACGGUGAGGUGAGUUGGGGAGGUUUCAUUUAUCCAGUGGUGUUAUUGCCAUUUUAAUGUGAUCUUCUGCUGAGUAUUUGCUUUCUAAAAUCUAUUCCCUCUCAGGAUUCUUUUUCACUCAGUCCUUUUAGAAGAUUGAUGCAAACAGAUUUCCAAUUCAUUUCCAUAGAAAGUCUUCAUUCCUGUCAGCAGGAGAGCUUUGUUAGGUGGUAGGAACAUAAGGCUGUGGGUCUCUUAACUAACACUACUAUUCCAAAAUACAGAUGCUUUCCAUCUGUGAGUCCUGAUCUCUCUCCAUUCCUCAAGAUGCUCGACUUCCAUGACUCCUCUUUCCUCUGCUCAGGUCACAUAUGUGGAGCUGGAAAGGAUCCCUGAUGAUUGGCAGUGACAAUGGUGGAAUGUGGAGGUGAAGUUAACACCUUCACACCUACAGAUUUCCCUUAGCAGAGCUGUGGAGUGUGACAAUGGUGUUUGUGUCCAAACUAUCAAACGCCAUCAUCACACUAAAUAGCUACUGCUAGGCAAUCCUUCCACUCAGUAUAAGUCUUGGCAACUGUUUGGUCUGGGCAAGAAGGCUCAUCUUAUACCAACCAGUGUUCUCUAUCAUGUGUAACUUGGAAUAAAGUCUGAUACUCUUGUGGUCAUAACUAUUUGCCUGCCUGAA